UACGGGGGGGGGCAAGCGUUGUUCGGAAUUACUGGGCGUAAAGGGCGCGUAGGCGGUUUGCUAAGUUGGAUGUGAAAACUCUGGGCUUAACCCAGAGCCUGCAUCCAAAACUGGCAAACUUGAGUACUGGAGGGGAAAGCGGAAUUCCUGGUGUAGCGGUGAAAUGCGUAGAUAUCAGGAGGAACACCGGUGGCGAAGGCGGCUUUCUGGACAGUAACUGACGCUGAGGCGCGAAAGCUAGGGGAGCAAACAGG
rnacentral:rRNA from 1 species